GACGAACGCUGGCGGCGUGCUUAACACAUGCAAGUCGAACGGAAAGGCCCUGCUUUUGUGGGGUGCUCGAGUGGCGAACGGGUGAGUAACACGUGAGUAACCUGCCCUUGACUUUGGGAUAACUUCAGGAAACUGGGGCUAAUACCGGAUAGGAGCUCCUGCUGCGUGGUGGGGGUUGGAAAGUUUCGGCGGUUGGGGAUGGACUCGCGGCUUAUCAGCUUGUUGGUGGGGUAGUGGCUUACCAAGGCUUUGACGGGUAGCCGGCCUGAGAGGGUGACCGGGGCCAGUGGGACUGGGAGAGGGCGCAGAAUGCAAGGGGGGGCAGGGGGGGGAAUUCUGGCAGAGGGGGGGGGGGCUGGUGAAGGAAGCCCGGGGUGCGGAAGACCGGCUUUGGGGUGGAAAACCGUUUUCGCCGGUGAAGAAGGGGGAGUGACGGUAAGGGGUAAAAAAGCCCCGGCUAACUACGUG
rnacentral:rRNA from 1 species